rnacentral:rRNA from 1 species
GAUGAACGCUGGCGGCGUGCCUAAUACAGCAAGUCGAGCGAACAGACGAGGAGCUUGCUCCUCUGACGUUAGCGGCGGACGGGUGAGUAACACGUGGAUAACCUACCUAUAAGACUGGGAUAACUUCGGGAAACCGGAUCUAAUACCGGAUAAUAUAUUGAACCGCAUGGUUCAAUAGUGAAAGACGGUUUUGCUGUCACUUAUAGAUGGAUCCGCGCCGCAUUAGCUAGUUGGUAAGGUAACGGCUUACCAAGGCGACGAUGCGUAGCCGACCUGAGAGGGUGAUCGGCCACACUGGAACUGAGACACGGUCCAGACUCCUACGGGAGGCAGCAGUAGGGAAUCUUCCGCAAUGGGCGAAAGCCUGACGGAGCAACGCCGCGUGAGUGAUGAAGGUCUUCGGAUCGUAAAACUCUGUUAUUAGGGAAGAACAAAUGUGUAAGUAACUAUGCACGUCUUGACGGUACCUAAUCAGAAAGCCACGGCUAACUACGUG